AGAGUUUGAUCCUGGCUCAGGACGAACGCUGGCGGCGCGCCUAACACAUGCAAGUCGAACGGAGCAAAUUAGUUUACUAAGGUGCUUAGUGGCGGACGGGUGAGUAACACGUGAGCAACCUGCCUAUCAGAGGGGGAUAACAUUCGGAAACGGAUGCUAAUACCGCAUAACAUAUAUUUGCGGCAUCGCAGAUAUAUCAAAGGAGCAAUCCGCUGAGAGAUGGGCUCGCGGCCGAUUAGAUAGUUGGCGGGGUAACGGCCCACCAAGUCGACGAUCGGUAGCCGGACUGAGAGGUUGAACGGCCACAUUGGGACUGAGACACGGCCCAGACUCCUACGGGAGGCAGCAGUGGGGGAUAUUGCACAAUGGGGGAAACCCUGAUGCAGCGACGCCGCGUGAGGGAAGACGGUCUUCGGAUUGUAAACCUCUGUCUUCGGGGACGAAAAGAUGACGGUACCCGAGGAGGAAGCCACGGCUAACUACGUGCCAGCCGUCGCGGUAAUAC
rnacentral:rRNA from 1 species